UCCGAGCGGACGCCGAAUCCUGCCGCCGCCCGGACGACCGGUCGACAGGAGUGGAUCGGCAGGAGUGGAGGACCCGAGCACGACGGGUCGCCGGAACGACCGCCUGCGCGAGUCAGGCGCCGGACCGAGCAGCCCUUGGGGUGAAGCCGCAUCCGUGCGGCCGGGCAUCUUCGCCAGCCCGAAUCCGACAGGUCAUCCUUCACAGGCGGCUGACGAAGGGUUG
rnacentral:sRNA from 2 species